rnacentral:rRNA from 1 species
GGUGAGUAACACGUGGGCAAUCUGCCCUGCACUCUGGGACAAGCCCUGGAAACGGGGUCUAAUACCGGAUACUGAGCCACUUGGGCAUCCAAGUGGUUCGAAAGCUCCGGCGGUGCAGGAUGAGCCCGCGGCCUAUCAGCUUGUUGGUGAGGUAAUGGCUCACCAAGGCGACGACGGGUAGCCGGCCUGAGAGGGCGACCGGCCACACUGGGACUGAGACACGGCCCAGACUCCUACGGGAGGCAGCAGUGGGGAAUAUUGCACAAUGGGCGAAAGCCUGAUGCAGCGACGCCGCGUGAGGGAUGACGGCCUUCGGGUUGUAAACCUCUUUCAGCAGGGAAGAAGCGAAAGUGACGGUACCUGCAGAAGAAGCGCCGGCUAACUACGUGCCAGCAGCCGCGGUAAUACGUAGGGCGCAAGCGUUGUCCGGAAUUAUUGGGCGUAAAGAGCUCGUAGGCGGCUUGUCACGUCGGUUGUGAAAGCCCGGGGCUUAACCCCGGGUCUGCAGUCGAUACGGGCAGGCUAGAGUUCGGUAGGGGAGAUCGGAAUUCCUGGUGUAGCGGUGAAAUGCGCAGAUAUCAGGAGGAACACCGGUGGCGAAGGCGGAUCUCUGGGCCGAUACUGACGCUGAGGAGCGAAAG